UGUCAGAUUGUUGGAUGUGAUCUACACUGGUUUGCACAGGUGUUCCAAUACGUCACUAUCUGAUCUCCAACUGACUAACGUAGUAUUUCCUUUUUGUUCCAGUCCUAUUUUAUUUUACUAUGGCAGUUUAAUUUUUCUUUAAAAGUUAUUUAUUUAAAAGUGUGCUCCAUUAAGUUAUAAAAAUUAUAUUGAUGUUUUGAUAUUAUUGCAAUCAGUUGAAUGUGUCUAUUCUUCUUCACUCAAGCAGACAAAAAACUGUCACAAAACCAUGUGGGUUUUUCAUUGUAUGGAAACUUGUUUCAUUUAAGUGAGUUUAGAUGGAAAAUAAAAACUGUUAAUAAAAAUACUGACCUGCUCGGCUUGGAGGGUGGAGGGAAGUUGGUCCAGUAUCUGAGUAAAGGUUUUGACAUCUGGCUUGACCUUGAACCUGGCCAUCUGUUCCAGUACUCCUUUACAGCCGCCCAUCAACAUUAGUCUGUACACAACACAACAUCUAUUCAUCCUAUUCAUCUGUGAUUAAUAUGACCCACCUGUCCAGAACACAGGAUGACUUGUAUCACUUGUUGAGUGCUCUUCUCAUCCCCCAGGCCACAGUCUCGACUGCAGCGCAGCAGCAAGUUGAACGAGAACAACUUCGGCUUCACCCCUUUUUGCAUCAUCUUCCACCAAACCUGAAUGUCAUACAGUUAUAUUUAUAUUAUUGUUUCACAUUUCUUGUACCAUUUCUAAACGCAGUUAUUUUUUUCAAAGAUAUUGUAAACAUAAAAUUACAUUAUUUAUAAUUCAAACAAACAUAUAGACAAUUAAGUGAUUUUUAAAAUACAAAAGCGAUGUUGAAUUUUCAAGAACAUGCAUCGUGUGAGUUAUCACAAGUGAUAAAUACAAUGGAAAACCGAUUACAUGAAAGCCGAUAAUCUGAAAGCGGUUAACUGAAAGAGCUUCAGACGGUAGUGUAAACUCAAAAUUCCCACCACGCUGAGAUUACACGAGCAGCCGGUAGGAGCGUGUGGUGCAGAUGUUCAGUUAUUUUCACUGUUCCAUGUCCUACUGUAUAGCUCACCUUGUAUUUCUCAUAAUCAGUGUUGUUUUAACAGUUCGUACUCUUGUUUGUUGUGUUGUGUGAGACGUCUAGCAACGUACUUGUUUCUGACAAACGUAACGUAAAUCAAUUAAAAAAUGGUGCAAUUGCUUCAAGCUUAAGCUGUUGUUUUAAACGCCUAAGAAAUAGCGUCAAUAAACUAUAUAUUGAUAUAUAUAUAUUUAAAAUUUUAGUAAACAUUGAAUCACAAAAAGUACUUGCUCUACCGGGACUCGAACCCGGAUUUCUCACUUACCGGGUGAUUGUGCUGGUAUAUAGAUAACUGGCAUGGUCAUAAUUUGUAGUUCUUCGAAUAGGAUACUCUAUCAGCAGAACCUUUGAUAGUUCUUAAAGCUUUUUUUUGUAUUACUGCAAUUUCUACACAACAAAUUCCGUAUACUAAAUCAGCGUGGGAAAAUGAUAAUAGGCUAUUAUUUGCAUAUCUAUGCUGAUGAAAAAUUUUAAUUUGCUAAAUUAAUAUGUGAUUCUCGCCAAUAUUUUACAGAUUACACAAACAUGUACAUCCUAGUUUAAUUUACUAAGUGUGUACCUAAAAGUGUUACAGGGUUAAAAUGUAAUUUAUUACAAAUAUUAAUAUCCAAGGAUAAGCAUAUGUCCUAUGUUUUUCUUUAUUUACAAAUACAGAAGUAUACAUAGACCACUCA